GUUCUACUUAAAGUGUUCUAUCUAAAGGUUCUACCUAAAGACGUCUACCUAAAGCAUUCUACCUAAAGGUUCCACGUAAAGGUUCUACCUAAAUGGUUCUACUUAAAGUGUUCUACCUAAAGGGUUCUACCUAAAGGUUCUACUUAAAGCCUUCUACCUAAAGGUUCUACCUAAAGCGUUCUACCUAAAGGUUCUACCUGAAUAGUUCUAUCUCAAGGGUUCUACCUAAAGGUUCUACCUAAAGGGUUCUACCUAAAGGUUCUACUUAAAGUGUUCUAUCUAAAGGUUCUACCUAAAGACGUGUACCUAAAGUGUUCUACCUAAAGGUUCUACUGAAAGGGUUCAACCUAAAGGUUCUACCUAAAGGGUUCUACUUAAAGGUUCUACUUAAAGUGUUCUAUCUAAUGGUUCUACCUAAAGACGUCUACCUAAAGCAUUCUACCUAAAGGUUCCACGUAAAGGUUCUACCUAAAUGGUUCUACUUAAAGUGUUCUACCUAAAGGGUUCUAAAUAAAGGGUUCUACCUAAAGGGUGUUCUACCUAAAGGUUCUACUUAAAGCGUUCUACCUAAAGGUUCCACAUAAAGGUUCUACCUGAAUGGUUCUAUCUCAAGGGUUCCACCUAAAGGUUCUACCUAAAGGUUCUACCUAAAGGGUUCUACCUAAAAGUUCUACUUAAAGCGUUCUACCUAAAGGUUCUACCUAAAGAGGUCUACCUAAAGCAUUCAACCUAAAGGUUCCACGUAAAGGUUCUACCUAAAUGGUUCUACUUAAAGUGUUCUACCUAAAGGAUUCUACCUAAAGGGUGUUCCACCUAAAGGUUCUACUUAAAGUGUUCUACUUAAAGUGCUCUACCUAAAGCGUUCUACCUAAAG